GAAUAUUGGACAAUGGGGGGAACCCUGAUCCAGCCAUGCCGCGUGUGUGAAGAAGGCCUUUUGGUUGUAAAGCACUUUAAGCGAGGAGGAGGAUACCCUAGUUAAUACCUAGAGAUAGUGGACGUUCCCGGCAGAACAGGCACCGGCUAACCCUUUGCCAGCAGCCGCGGUAAUACAGAGGGUGCAAGCGUUAAUCGGAUUUACUGGGCGUAAAGCGCGCGUAGGUGGCCAAUUAAGUCAAAUGUGAAAUCCCCGAGCUUAACUUGGGAAUUGCAUUCGAUACUGGUUGGCUAGAGUAUGGGAGAGGAUGGUAGAAUUCCAGGUGUAGCGGUGAAAUGCGUAGAGAUCUGGAGGAAUACCGAUGGCGAAGGCAGCCAUCUGGCCUAAUACUGACACUGAGGUGCGAAAGCAUGGGGAGCAAAC
rnacentral:rRNA from 1 species